rnacentral:rRNA from 1 species
UACGAAGGGUGCAAGCGUUACUCGGAAUUACUGGGCGUAAAGCGUGCGUAGGUGGUUCGUUAAGUCUGAUGUGAAAGCCCUGGGCUCAACCUGGGAAUGGCAUUGGAAACUGGCGACCUAGAGUGCGGUAGAGGGUAGUGGAAUUCCCGGUGUAGCAGUGAAAUGCGUAGAUAUCUGGAGGAACACCGGUGGCGAAGGCGGCAUUCUGGACCAAUACUGACGCUGAGGAGCGAAAGCCAGGGGAGCAAACGGG